CUAAAGCAUUCAAUCAGCCAAAUGUUUCUUUUACUAGCAUGCUUUUGAGUCAGCAUACAUCUGGAAGCACUUAUGCCCCAAACCAUCCAUUCGGAUCAUAUUCUCAACCAAGCCAGGAGUUGCAUUCAACAACUGAUGAGCAGCAGCAAGGUUCAA